ensembl:snoRNA
GUUCAUUGAAAAUCAUGCCUGGACUAUGUCGUGGAUUGGGUUGAGAUUCAGCACCCAAGGCCACCAGGAGCCUCAGCUCACCGCCCACUGCCAAGGUGUGGGAGGGUGAAACCUAGGCCCCCAAAAGC